GGAAGGGCACCACCAGGAGUGGAGCCUGCGGCUUAAUUUGACUCAACACGGGAAAACUCACCAGGUCCAGACACAUUAAGGAUUGACAGAUUGAGAGCUCUUUCUUGAUUAUGUGGGUGGUGGUGCAUGGCCGUUCUUAGUUGGUGGAGUGAUUUGUCUGCUUAAUUGCGAUAACGAACGAGACCUUAACCUGCUAAAUAGCCAGGCAAGAUUUAUCUGGUCGUCGGCUUCUUAGAGGGACUAUCGGCUCAAGCCGAUGGAAGUUUGAGGCAAUAACAGGUCUGUGAUGCCCUUAGAUGUUCUGGGCCGCACGCGCGCUACACUGACAGAGCCAACGAGUACAAACCUUUACCGAAAGGUAUGGGUAAUCUUGUUAAACUCUGUCGUGCUGGGGAUAGAGCAUUGCAAUUAUUGCUCUUCAACGAGGAAUUCCUAGUAAGCGCAAGUCAUCAGCUUGCGUUGAUUACGUCCCUGCCCUUUGUACACACCGCCCGUCGCUACUACCGAUUGAAUGGCUCAGUGAGGCCUCCGGACUGGCUCCAGGAGAUAGGUAACUGUCACCCAGAGCCGGAAAGUUGGUCAAACUUGGUCAUUUAGAGGAAGUAAAAGUCGUAACAAGGUUUCCGUAGGUGAACCUGCGGAAGGAUCAUUAAUUGAUACCAAGGCCGGCCCGAAAGUUCCUUGGGACAAUAGGGCAGACCUGGAAACCCACUGUGGAAAGACCUGUUGCUUUGGCAGCCGUCCAUGACCUGGAAUAGUAAGUCUGUCGAAAGCUCUUAUCUCAAACUCUUUGCCAAAUUGUCUGAAAAAAGAACGAUUUGAAUUUUUAUAAAACUUUCAACAACGGAUCUCUUGGUUCUCGCAUCGAUGAAGAACGCAGCGAAACGCGAUAGGUAAUGUGAAUUGCAGAAUUCAGUGAAUCAUCGAAUCUUUGAACGCAUAUUGCGCCUUUUGGUAUUCCGAGAGGCAUGUCUGUUUGAGCGUCAAGGAAAACCUCGGGAGGAUUCCUUUGGGAAUUUUCUCUCGGCUUUUGGACCCGGGGCAGGAAAUGUCCUCGGCCUUCAAUCUGGAGUGAUUGCGGACCGACCUCCUCGUCACAACGUAGUAGAUUUUUGUCUGUCGUUUGGACGUUUGGAGGGCUGUUGUCCAGCCUUGAAAACAAUACCGACCAGUUUGACCUCAAAUCAGACAAGGAUACCCGCUGAACUUAAGCAUAUCAAUAAGCGGAGGAAAAGAAACCAACAGGGAUUGCCUUAGUAACGGCGAGUGAAGCGGCAAGAGCUCAAAUUUGAAAUCUGGCGUCUCCGGCGUCCGAGUUGUAAUUUGAAGAAAAGUCUUCGGUGCGGGCCUUGGCCUAUGUUCCUUGGAACAGGACGUCAUAGAGGGUGAGAAUCCCGUUCUUGGCUGAUGGCCUCGUGCUAUGUGAAGGCUUGAUCGAAGAGUCGAGUUGUUUGGGAAUGCAGCUCAAAAUGGGUGGUAAAUUUCAUCUAAAGCUAAAUAUUGGCGAGAGACCGAUAGCGCACAAGUAGAGUGAUCGAAAGAUGAAAAGCACUUUGAAAAGAGAGUUAAACAGUACGUGAAAUUGUUGAAAGGGAAGCGCUUGCAAUCAGACCCGUCUCUGGCUGAUCAACUCCCCUUCUGGGUGGUGCACUCAGCCUCCGACGUGCCAGCAUCGGUUAAUGCGGUGGGACAAAGACUUUGGGAAUGUGAUUCUCUUCGGGGAGUGUUAUAGCCCUUUGUGCAAUGCCACCUGCUGUUGACCGAGGACCGCGCCUUUGGCUAGGAUGUUGGCUUAAUGGUUGUAAGCGACCCGUCUUGAAACACGGACCAAGGAGUCUAACAUCCAUGCGAGUGUUUGGGUGUCAAACCCAUACGCGUAACGAAAGUGAACGGAGGUGAGAACUCGCAAGGGCGCAUCAUCGACCGAUCCUGAUGUCUUCGGAUGGAUUUGAGUAGGAGCAUGGCUGUUGGGACCCGAAAGAUGGUGAACUAUGCCUGAAUAGGGUGAAGCCAGAGGAAACUCUGGUGGAGGCUCGCAGCGGUUCUGACGUGCAAAUCGAUCGUCAAAUUUGGGUAUAGGGGCGAAAGACUAAUCGA
rnacentral:rRNA from 1 species